rnacentral:ncRNA from 1 species
CAAGGGCAAACCGUCCGAAAGGGCGGGACGCAAAGCAAGGGGGCUAAAGCGGGUUUGCCGCCGCCAUGCCUGCCCAGCUGCCA